GGCUUCACUCCACUUUUCAGUUUUCACUUUACACUGUGUUUUCCACGUUGUAACCGGCCAUUCCGGUAAACCUACCAACUCUCUGUCUCGACCCUUGUUCUCAUAAUCUCCUUAUCUAUCUAUCUUCCUAUAUUUUUCAUGUGUUCUUUCUCUGCAACCUACAUCACCACCCACUCAUCACUGAGUCACAUUCCCCCGAGUCAUGAACUUACUCCCCCUCAAUAUGUUACACAUAACAAAAGAAGAAUAGCCCUUUUUUUCUCAUUACAGAACCAUGAUUUUCCGUUUUGCCCCUCUCCGCAGUCUCUAUUCCUUGAUAUAUGCCAUCACACCAAAACCUUUAGUCGGAGGCAACCACACUUCAGCUCGAUUCUGCUCACGGUAAUAAAAUUCAAAUGAAAUAAAUACAAAACCCAUUUUUUUUCACAUUUUUUGUUUAAUAUUUUAUUUUUCCGAGGAAAAAAAACGAAGAAAAAAGUGCACAAUGGUUACACUGGAACAUACCGCAGGCAAAUCAAGCUCCUUCCGAAGCCUCUUGAUACGGUUGCUUCUCUUAGGCGUUUUCAUCAUCGGAGUUCGAUUUGCUUACGUCAUCGUUAUCGCCGGAGAAUCCUGCACCGUUGCCGAUUUCUGCUUCUCCUCGUUUCACGAGACUCUCAGCCUUGUCAUCGCUGGCGCCGGAGCUGCUGUCAAACCCCUCGCGGUUGAGUCCACCACAGCUGGCGGCGCCGCCUCCCCCGCACGGCCGGAGAUUUACACCAGCAAGGAAUGGACCAAUGCCGUUCGAUUCUACUCGUCAGUGUUAAAGCAUCUGAUUGCCGGCGGCUACCUCUCACCGGCGUCGAAGUCACUGUGCGUUGAAACUCCAACGGGACGCGACGUUUUCACGAUGAGAGAGAUUGGCGUCAAGAGCACCGUCGGAAUCUCUAGGAAGGCGGUGAAACCGCUGGUGAAGUCCGGCCGCGGUCACCGGAUUCCAUUCCCCACCAGAAGCUUUGACUUCAUUUUCUCAGGUGAGGGCUCGCUGGAGAGGUCGCCGUUUCCGGCGGAGUUCGCUGCGGAGGUCAGCUAAAACCAGAAACCAGAAGGGUUCGCGGUGUUCCAUUUGGUAAACCCUAAUGACACUUAUAUCUUCAAUUCGUUCCUUGAUUUGUUUAAUUCGUAUUAGUGAUGCUAUUCAUAAGUUAGUAAAAGUUGAUUAUUUUGGGGGUGGUAAAGAUGAUUCAAGUGACAAGUGUUAUGUUCCAGAGUAUAAGCAUAAUUUAGUUAAAAAUGCUGAGCCUUUGAUUUCUAUGGAGCCACUGAAACCGUGGAUAACUUUGAAGAGGAAUUUGAAGAACAUAAGGUACCUUUCUUCAAUGGUGGAUAUAAGCUUUAAGAGAAGGUAUGUGUACGUUGAUGUUGGAGCUAGAAGCUACGGUUCUACUAUAGGAUCUUGGUUUAGGAAACAAUACCCGAAGCAGAACAAGACCUUUCAUGUGUAUGCUAUGGCUUUUUUUUUCAGGCCUGCAGGAGGUUACAGCAGCAAUGAUGAAGCUGAUGCAUCUAAUGAUGAUAGAGUUGAACUUGAUAAAAGCAAUAUCCUUCUCAUGGGGCCAACAUGA